rnacentral:rRNA from 1 species
UACGUAGGAGACGAGCGUUGUCCGGAGUUACUGGGCGUAAAGGGUGCGCAGGUGGCGGCGCGCGUGGGGGGUGAAAUCGCCCGGCUUAACUGGGCGGGGGCCUUCCAGACGGCGUGGCUUGAGCAGCGGAGGGGGACGUGGAAUUCCAGGUGUAGCGGUGAAAUGCGUAGAUAUCUGGAGGAACACCGGUGGCGAAGGCGGCAUCCUGGACCGGCAUUGACGCUGAGUGAGCGAAAGCCAGGGGAGCAAACGGG